CACAGGAGUGAAGCAGAGGAAUUUUGGAGGAAUACUAUAGCAAUCGUGCAAAGAUGGAGGAAUUUCACAGGAACCAAAACAUCAGGGACAAGCUUAGCUGUACAUGCCUGGAUCACCAUCAGCAAGUAUAUAUGAGAAACAGAGGCAUAACUGAAGACUUGCAACGAGAUGGGUGGGUUAUGUUAAUCGCUAUAAGUCCUUUUUCUAAUCAUCAUCAGUAGGUCCGCGAAAAACUUUGAAGUCCCUCGCCUCACUGGGUGCUCGAGACCGUUUUGCGACCGCGAUUUCCAGGGCAAAUGGUGUUUCGUAUGUAGUUUUUUCUUUUUAUGGUUCCCUUCAU